AGUGAACGCUGGCGGUAGGCCUAACACAUGCAAGUCGAACGGCAGCACAGUAAGAGCUUGCUCUUACGGGUGGCGAGUGGCGGACGGGUGAGGAAUACAUCGGAAUCUACUUUUUCGUGGGGGAUAACGUAGGGAAACUUACGCUAAUACCGCAUACGACCUACGGGUGAAAGCAGGGGAUCUUCGGACCUUGCGCGAUUGAAUGAGCCGAUGUCGGAUUAGCUAGUUGGCGGGGUAAAGGCCCACCAAGGCGACGAUCCGUAGCUGGUCUGAGAGGAUGAUCCGCCACACUGGAACUGAGACACGGUCCAGACUCCUACGGGAGGCAGCAGUGGGGAAUAUUGCACAAUGGGCGAAAGCCUGAUCCAGCCAUACCGCGUGGGUGAAGAAGGCCUUCGGGUUGUAAAGCCAUUUUGUUGGGAAAGAAAAACAGCAGGUUAAUACCCCGCUGUUCUGACGGUACCCAAAGAAUAAGCACCGGCUAACUUCGUG
rnacentral:rRNA from 1 species